GUGGAAACAUACCAACAAACGAUAUCCCAUCAAAAAGAGGAGAUGUCAUGUUCGCGCAACGUAUUUUCCAUCAUAUUUAUUAAGAGAUCGUACGCUCGAUUUAGACUAUGGAGAACUUGGGACCAACGCGAAGCAGAAAUCCUUUAAACGAAAGUCUCACGAACGCCACGAUUUCCACGAAUAGGAAUUCGGCAAUGCUACUUUUCCCCAACUUCUGAGGUGUGAAGUGGGUAGUAAGAAAGGUCAGACGGGUUCAGUUGGUCAACAGAUUUGCUACAAGAAAUCUCUGCAAAAUUGGGUAUCGAAAUCACACGCAUCACCGUUUUUAGUAACUAUGCGGUACAUCGAAUUGCUGUUGCUAUUAAACAUUAUUUCACAUUACCUUUUGACUCUCGGUGAGACAUAUAGCCAGAAGGCUUAGAUUCUUGGUUCGUCGCAAUCGAAACAGAACUUCAAUUUAAUAUCCUUUUUGAUGUGUUAUGUUUUCUAAGAUAGUGUCUACACGUAGAUACCGUUAUUAGUACAC
rnacentral:misc_RNA from 1 species